rnacentral:rRNA from 1 species
CGAAAUGCGAUAAGUAAUGNGAAUUGCAGAAUUCAGUGUAUCAUCGAAUCUUUGAACGCACCUUGCG